rnacentral:rRNA from 1 species
AGUGAACGCUGGCGGUAGGCCUAACACAUGCAAGUCGAACGGCAGCACAGUAAGAGCUUGCUCUUACGGGUGGCGAGUGGCGGACGGGUGAGGAAUACAUCGGAAUCUACUUUUUCGUGGGGGAUAACGUAGGGAAACUUACGCUAAUACCGCAUACGACCUACGGGUGAAAGCAGGGGAUCUUCGGACCUUGCGCGAUUGAAUGAGCCGAUGUCGGAUUAGCUAGUUGGCGGGGUAAAGGCCCACCAAGGCGACGAUCCGUAGCUGGUCUGGGAGGAUGAUCAGCCACACUGGAACUGAGACACGGUCCAGACUCCUACGGGAGGCAGCAGUGGGGAAUAUUGGACAAUGGGCGCAAGCCUGAUCCAGCCAUACCACGUGGGUGAAGAAGGCCUUCGGGUUGUAAAGCCCUUUUGUUGGGAAAGAAAAGCAGCAGGUUAAUACCCCGCUGUUCUGACGGUACCCAAAGAAUAAGCACCGGCUAACUUCGUG